CUAGAUCAGAUGAUGUGACUUGGUUAUAGUAAUUAUUACAUUGGACAGUAAUGGUCUGCUUACUGUCUAUUUUCUCAAGCAGAUGUGAGCUCUUGAUGUCAGAACCUUUGGUGUAUUCAUCUUUGAAUUUCUAGCAAGCAACACAGCACAUGGAUCCCAUCCAGGGGACCACAUUACAUUCAACCAUCAUGUCUCCUUUUGGCUGUGACGGUUUCUCAGACUUUCCUUGUUCUCCAUGACUCUGGGGAGUACUGGCCAGAGUACACAGCCAACAAUGGCUGUGGGAGGAACCUCAGAGCACCCAGAAGCUGGAGACCUGUCUAAACAUGAAAGAAAUGGUAUAUCAUUUCACAGUGUACCCUGCAGGAAAAAAAGGUUCUGCCCUCCCUACCCGAAU